CCAAAAACGAGGUUUUCCCCGCAUGGCGGCAGAGCAAACACCCGGAAGUGAUUUAUCGCUCGUCUCGCAUGUCUCGUUCAGCUUCGUCAAGAAUUUGGUUCAAAGUCAAUCUAAGAGCGCGAGGAGUUCCCCGUUGAACAAGGGAUUCCAUUACAACAGCGAUGGGUUCAUCAACAGUAUUAAAACGUCGUCCAAAGGAUUCCUAGCUGUGGCCCGACUCAUGUGAAAUCCCACAUAACUUAGAGAUUUUUCUGAAGUGAAGGUUUCUACAGCAAACUGUUUCUGUGCCAUCAGACAGAUCGAGCCAGUGCUAUGGACAUCAGUUUAAAUACAAUGUAUGUACAUUUUGUAAUAAAAUAUUUGCGUCUCAAA